UACGAAGGGGGCUAGCGUUGCUCGGAUUGACUGGGCGUAAAGGGCGCGUAGGCGGUUCGUACAGUCAGACGUGAAAUUCCUGGGCUCAACCUGGGGGCUGCCGUUUGAUACGUGCGGACUUGAGUGCGGAAGAGGGUCGUGGAAUUCCCAGUGUAGAGGUGAAAUUCGUAGAUAUUGGGAAGAACACCGGUGGCGAAGGCGGCGACCUGGUCCGAUCUGACGCUGAGGCGCGAAAGCGUGGGGAGCAAACAGG
rnacentral:rRNA from 1 species